CUUUUUCUGGGCAUCCCUCUUUUGUGGAGUUUUCCCUGUAAGCCUAGAUCUUCAGAGAUUGGUCCAACAUCUUGGCAGAUCUGAGAGUGUGGUGAUGUGGAUGAAAGCUAAAUGGUGAUGACCCUGGCAGUGCUGGCUGAGAUAAGAACACGUGGAUCAUCCUGUUCUUGAAGAAGGUCUAGUAGCUAUUGCUAAUUUGAAUGUAUGCAUAUAUAAUGCAAUGGAAAGUACAGUAAUGACAAUGGAGCAGCAAGGUCUCAGGCUGUAGCAAGUGAGGACUUGCACAGACACAACAGCAGUAAGCACACUACUUACUUUCAGAAGGCCUCAAGUAUAGAGGGACCUCCCAGGAAAUACCUUCACCUCCACUA